AGCCCCGUAGUGUAGUGGCCAAUCAAUUUGGGCAAAUCAUCUCAGACUCUGGAUCUGGGGACUGCGGUUCGAAUCCGCGCGGGGCUA
rnacentral:tRNA from 1 species